rnacentral:tRNA from 1 species
UUAAAGAUAAGCUAAUUCAGUAAGCUUUUUGGUUCAUACCCAAAAUAUAGAUUAUUUUCUUCUUUAAA